AUGAGUGGAGGACUAACUUUAUUUGUUGCUAACAGUGUUCAAUACAACUUGUAUUUUGGAGGAAGUUGUCCUGCAGAUUCUGGGGUUGUACUGUUGCCUGAAGACAGCUUUGGCAAGAGGGCAGCUGCUGAGCUGGGCUUCAAGCUGAAGAUCAAUAAACAUUCGCUGACAGGCUGAACUGGCAAACUUGAUGACAGUGGACUUCUUAAGAAAUCAAGAAGCCAAGGAAGAUUGUUUGGGAAUGAGUCUUGCGAAUAGCCACCCAUGGGCCAUUUGCAACCCUGUAAAGUGGCCACAUGUGUGUAACCGUAGGCUCCUCCUCGCUGCUCGGUGGUGGCUGCAGCUGCAGCUGCAUCCUGGGUAAGUUCCAGUAAAACCAAAGAGGAUGUGGGUACUAGUGCCAGUGGCUUGUGGGAAGCAAGAGUUUGUCU
rnacentral:lncRNA from 1 species